UGCAGGACACAUGAACAUCGACAUUUCGAACGCACAUUGCGGUCCACGGAUACAAUUCCCGGACCACGCCUGGCUGAGGGUCG
rnacentral:rRNA from 1 species